AGCAGCCGCGGUAAUUCCAGCUCCAAUAGCGUAUAUUAAAGUUGUUGCAGUUAAAAAGCUCGUAGUUGAAUUUCGGGAUCAGCAGGUCGGUCGUGCCACUGGUAUGCACUGGCCUUGCUGAUUCCUCCCUCUUGAUGAGCCGUAAUGCCAUUAAUUUGGUGUUGCGGGGAAUCAGGACUGUUACUUUGAAAAAAUUAGAGUGUUUAAAGCAGGCAUGCGCUUGAAUACAUUAGCAUGGAAUAAUGAAAUAGGACGUUCGAUCCUAUUUUGUUGGUUUCUAGGAUUGACGUAAUGAUUAAUAGGGAUAGUUGGGGGCAUUAGUAUUCAAUUGUCAGAGGUGAAAUUCUUGGAUUUAUUGAAGACUAACUACUGCGAAAGCAUUUGCCAAAGAUGUUUUCAUAAUUCAAGAACGAAAGUUAGGGGAUCGAAGACGAUCAGAUACCGUCGUAGUCUUAACCAUAAACUAUGCCGACUAGGGAUCGGAUGAUGUUAAUUUUUUAAUGACUCAUUCGGCGCCUUA
rnacentral:rRNA from 1 species